rnacentral:rRNA from 1 species
GACGUAGGGGACGAGCGUUGUCCGGAUUCAUUGGGCGUAAAGCGCGCGUAGGCGGCCACGCAAGUCGGGUGUGAAAUCCCGGAGCUACAACUCCGGAACUGCACUCGAAACUGCGCGGCUUGAGGUAGGUAGGGGAGAUCGGAAUUCCUGGUGUAGCGGUGGAAUGCGCAGAUAUCAGGAGGAACACCGGUGGCGAAGGCGGAUCUCUGGGCCGAUACUGACGCUGAGGAGCGAAAGCGUGGGGAGCGAACAGG